GUACACUCCUACGGGAGGCAGCAGUGGGGAAUUUUGGACAAUGGGCGAAAGCCUGAUCCAGCAAUGCCGCGUGUGUGAAGAAGGCCUUCGGGUUGUAAAGCACUUUUGUCCGGAAAGAAAUCCUUGGCUCUAAUACAGUCGGGGGAUGACGGUACCGGAAGAAUAAGCACCGGCUAACUACGUGCCAGCAGCCGCGGUAAUACGUAGGGUGCGAGCGUUAAUCGGAAUUACUGGGCGUAAAGCGUGCGCAGGCGGUUUGCUAAGACCGAUGUGAAAUCCCCGGGCUCAACCUGGGAACUGCAUUGGUGACUGGCAGGCUAGAGUAUGGCAGAGGGGGGUAGAAUUCCACGUGUAGCAGUGAAAUGCGUAGAGAUGUGGAGGAAUACCGAUGGCGAAGGCAGCCCCCUGGGCCAAUACUGACGCUCAUGCACGAAAGCGUGGGGAGCAAACAGGAUUAGAAACCCCUGUAGUCCCA
rnacentral:rRNA from 1 species